GCUUCUGUGGCCUAAUGGAUAAGGCGUCGGUCUCCAAAACCGAAGAUUGUGGGUUCGAGUCCCACCAGGGGUA
rnacentral:tRNA from 1 species